GACGAACGCUGGCGGCGUGCUUAACACAUGCAAGUCGAACGGAAAGGCCCUUCGGGGUACUCGAGUGGCGAACGGGUGAGUAACACGUGGGUGAUCUGCCCUGCACUUUGGGAUAAGCCUGGGAAACUGGGUCUAAUACCGAAUAGGACCACGCGCUUCAUGGUGUGUGGUGGAAAGCUUUUGCGGUGUGGGAUGGGCCCGCGGCCUAUCAGCUUGUUGGUGGGGUAAUGGCCUACCAAGGCGACGACGGGUAGCCGGCCUGAGAGGGUGACCGGCCACACUGGGACUGAGAUACGGCCCAGACUCCUACGGGAGGCAGCAGUGGGGAAUAUUGCACAAUGGGCGCAAGCCUGAUGCAGCGACGCCGCGUGAGGGAUGACGGCCUUCGGGUUGUAAACCUCUUUCAAUAGGGACGAAGCGCAAGUGACGGUACCUAUAGAAGAAGCACCGGCCAACUACGUGCCAGCAGCCGCGGUAAUACGUAGGGUGCGAGCGUUGUCCGGAAUUACUGGGCGUAAAGAGCUCGUAGGUGGUUUGUCGCGUUGUUCGUGAAAACUCACAGCUUAACUGUGGGCGUGCGGGCGAUACGGGCAGACUAGAGUACUGCAGGGGAGACUGGAAUUCCUGGUGUAGCGGUGGAAUGCGCAGAUAUCAGGAGGAACACCGGUGGCGAAGGCGGGUCUCUGGGCAGUAACUGACGCUGAGGAGCGAAAGCGUGGGGAGCGAACAGGAUUAGAUACCCUGGUAGUCCACGCCGUAAACGGUGGGUACUAGGUGUGGGUUCCUUCCUUGGGAUCCGUGCCGUAGCUAACGCAUUAAGUACCCCGCCUGGGGAGUACGGCCGCAAGGCUAAAACUCAAAGGAAUUGACGGGGGCCCGCACAAGCGGCGGAGCAUGUGGAUUAAUUCGAUGCAACGCGAAGAACCUUACCUGGGUUUGACAUGCACAGGACGCCGGCAGAGAUGUCGGUUCCCUUGUGGCCUGUGUGCAGGUGGUGCAUGGCUGUCGUCAGCUCGUGUCGUGAGAUGUUGGGUUAAGUCCCGCAACGAGCGCAACCCUUGUCCUAUGUUGCCAGCGGGUUAUGCCGGGGACUCGUAGGAGACUGCCGGGGUCAACUCGGAGGAAGGUGGGGGUGACGUCAAGUCAUCAUGCCCCUUAUGUCCAGGGCUUCACACAUGCUACAAUGGCCGGUACAAAGGGCUGCGAUGCCGUGAGGUGGAGCGAAUCCUUUCAAAGCCGGUCUCAGUUCGGAUCGGGGUCUGCAACUCGACCCCGUGAAGUCGGAGUCGCUAGUAAUCGCAGAUCAGCAACGCUGCGGUGAAUACGUUCCCGGGCCU
rnacentral:rRNA from 1 species